rnacentral:rRNA from 1 species
AACCGAAGAAGUGCAUUGGAAACUGGGAGACUUGAGUGCAGAAGAGGACAGUGGAACUCCAUGUGUAGCGGUGAAAUGCGUAGAUAUAUGGAAGAACACCAGUGGCGAAGGCGGCUGUCUGGUCUGCAACUGACGCUGAGGCUCGAAAGCAUGGGUAGCGAACAGGAUUAGAUACCCUGGUAGUCCAUGCCGUAAACGAUGAUUACUAAGUGUUGGAGGGUUUCCGCCCUUCAGUGCUGCAGCUAACGCAUUAAGUAAUCCGCCUGGGGAGUACGACCGCAAGGUUGAAACUCAAAAGAAUUGACGGGGGCCCGCACAAGCGGUGGAGCAUGUGGUUUAAUUCGAAGCUACGCGAAGAACCUUACCAGGUCUUGACAUCUUCUGACAGUCUAAGAGAUUAGAGGUUCCCUUCGGGGACAGAAUGACAGGUGGUGCAUGGUUGUCGUCAGCUCGUGUCGUGAGAUGUUGGGUUAAGUCCCGCAACGAGCGCAACCCUUAUUAUUAGUUGCCAGCAUUAAGUUGGGCACUCUAGUGAGACUGCCGGUGACAAACCGGAGGAAGGUGGGGACGACGUCAAAUCAUCAUGCCCCUUAUGACCUGGGCUACACACGUGCUACAAUGGAUGGUACAACGAGUCGCGAGACCGCGAGGUUAAGCCAAUCUCUUAAAACCAUUCUCAGUUCGGACUGUAGGCUGCAACUCGCCUACACGAAGUCGGAAUCGCUAGUAAUCGCGGAUCAGCAUGCCGCGGUGAAUACGUUCCCGGGCCUUGUACACACCGCCCGUCACACCAUGAGAGUUUGUAACACCCAAAGCCGGUGGGGUAACCUUUAGGAGCUAGCCGCCUAAGGUGGACCAGA